rnacentral:rRNA from 1 species
CCAGGGAACUCGGCAAAAUGACUCCGUAACUUCGGGAGAAGGAGUGCCACUGAGAGGUGGCCGCAGAGAAUUGGCCCAAGCAACUGUUUAGCAAAAACACAGGUCUAUGCAAAACCGAAAGGUGAAGUAUAUGGGCUGACGCCUGCCCGGUGCUGGAAGGUUAAGGGGAGAGGUUAGCGCAAGCGAAGCUUUGAACUUAAGCCCCAGUAAACGGCGGCCGUAACAAUAACGGUCCUAAGGUAGCGAAAUUCCUUGUCGGGUAAGUUCCGACCCGCACGAAAGGCGUAAUGAUUUGGGCACUGUCUCAACAAUGCACCCGGUGAAAUUGAAAUACCAGUGAAGAUGCUGGUUACCUGCGCCAGGACGGAAAGACCCCAUGGAGCUUUACUCCAGCUUGAUACUGGGAUUCGGUAUUGCAUGUACAGGAUAGGUGGGAGGCUAAGAAGCGGUAACGCCAGUUGCCGUGGAGCUGUUGUUGGGAUACCACCCUUGCAGUACUGGGUUUCUAACCAGCGGCCUUAAACAGGUCGGGGGACAAUGUCAGGUGGGGAGUUUGACUGGGGCGGUCGCCUCCGAAAGGGUAUCGGAGGCGCUCAAAGGUUCCCUCAGAAUGGUCGGAAACCAUUCGAAGAGUGCAAAGGCAGAAGGGAGCUUGACUGCGACACCGACGGGUGGAGCAGGUACGAAAGUAGGACUUAGUGAUCCGGUGGUAUAAAGUGGGAUUGCCAUCGCUCAACGGAUAAAAGCUACCCUGGGAUAACAGGCUUAUCACUCCCAAGAGUUCACAUCGACGGAGUGGUUUGGCACCUCGAUGUCGGCUCAUCGCAUCCUGGGGCUGAAGUAGGUCCCAAGGGUUGGGCUGUUCGCCCAUUAAAGCGGUACGCGAGCUGGGUUCAGAACGUCGUGAGACAGUUCGGUCCCUAUCCGGCGUGGGCGUAGGAUAUUUGAGAGGAGCUGUCCUUAGUACGAGAGGACCGGGAUGGACUGGCCGCUGGUUGAUCUGUUGUUCCGCCAGGAGCAUAGCAGAGUAGCCAAGCCGGGACGGGAUAAAUGCUGAAGGCAUCUAAGCGUGAAGCCCCCCUCAAGAUGAGAUAUCCCAACGAAAGUUGUAAGACCCCUUGAAGACGACGAGGUAGAUAGGACAGAGGUGGAAGUGUGGUAACACAUGGAGCUGACUGUUACUAAUAGGUCGAGGGCAUAAUC